rnacentral:rRNA from 1 species
UACGUAGGGGGCAAGCGUUGUCCGGAAUCAUUGGGCGUAAAGCGCGUGUAGGCGGAUCGUUAAGUCGGGGGUGAAAUCCUGGAGCUCAACUCCAGAACUGCCUUCGAUACUGGCGAUCUUGAGUCCGGAAGAGGUGAGUGGAACUCCUAGUGUAGAGGUGGAAUUCGUAGAUAUUAGGAAGAACACCAGUGGCGAAGGCGGCUCACUGGUCCGGUACUGACGCUGAGGUGCGAAAGCGUGGGGAGCAAACAGG